GCAGUCAUUAAAGAAUGUUAGCCAGGUGCAGUGGUGCACGCCUUUAAUCCCAGCACUUUGGGAGGUGGAGGUGGGUGGAUCGCCUGAGGUCAGGAGUUUGAGACCAACCUAGCCAACAUUGUGAAACCCUGUCUCUACGAAAACUACAAAAAUUAGCCAGGUGUGGUGGCACGCAUGCCUGUAAUCCCAGCUACUUGGGAGGCUGAGGCAGGAGAAUCGCUUGAACCCGGGAGGCAGAGGUUGUAGUGAGCCGAGAUCACACCACUGCACUCCAGCCUGGGCGAUAGAGUGAGACUCCGUCUCAAAAAAAAAAAAAAGAAUGUCAACUGCUCCUGGCUCUGCAGAGGUAUGGCCCAGGUGACAGGGCUAUUGAGAGGCCAAAGGGACCCUGAUCAGCCAGUGGUGUCUUUGGAAUAGGUGCUGCAAGCUCUGGGAGGUGCUACUGCGCACCAGAAGGUUGGUGAGUUGGCCAAGGGUGUGGAGCUGGCUCCAGAGGGGAAGGAACAAAGGGAAGGGACCCUCUGGGAGCUGGAGAGACUUGGGAGCCUGGAGGCAGGAAUUCCCUGCCAUUGCCUGAGGCCUGGUUUGGAAAGUACAAUGCAGUUUUGGCAUGGUGGUUGCUGGCCUGGAAUGUGGUGGGGUGAAGAGCGUGGUGGAAGGACACACUGAGUUCCUGACCAUCCAGCAACAAAGGAGCAAAAAGACCUUGGAAUCCAUGAGAAGGUAGGAGAAGUUUCUGCCGGGGUGGGACGGGAGCUCUGAACUGGGGCUGGACAGUCAGAUGGGUUUCUGGGUGAGAAGGCUGCUUCCCUCACAGGCUACAACAGUUGUAAUCAGAAAUGGUCGCAACUUUUGACAGGGUCCAGAGCAAAGGAUACAGAAAUGAAUUCGCUCUGAUGAAAAGAGCUGGAAGGAACUGAAAAUUAAAUAUGAAGCCUGUGGCUAUAGUUAGAGUUUAGGAAGUAACCUAUUUAAAAUGGGAUGCACAUAGGUUGGAGGUAGGUGGUGAAUGUAUUCAGAUGAUAAUAACUAGUCUAAGUAGAAAGAAUGAAGUAUGGUUAACCAAAAAAUGCCUCUGGAGUGCUAGAGAGAUGUGAUGAGAGGACGUGUGAGUGCAUCUUCCUGUGCACUAUGAAAGACCAGUGACUUUGAGAUGCUGACAGUGAUGAGGCUGGUGGGUCUUCUCCUGUCGCCAACCUCCAAAAUGGAUAUUCAGAGUCCUUCCAGCUCUGAUUCUCAGAGAUCUAAGUGAGACGUGGGAGGUCUCAUUGAACAUUUCCAAGAGCUGCUUCUGAUUUGUUGCUGAUGCUGAAUGGUACCGAGUUCAUGCAUUUCAAGUUUGUGCAAUGAAAAUAAAAUGUGAAUAUUCACCCCAAAAUGUGAAUAUGCCCCCAAUUCUUUGAAAGACUUUCUAAGGAAUAAAUAAUAGAGUGGUAGAUUUCUGCCAGCCUUCUGCCUUGAUCCUUGUUUCAACUGGCAUAUUUCCAAGCAUGUUGCAGGAGUACUUUUUCAAAUUGGGGCUUCUGUGAUUACAUACAUAGAGAGAAUUUUAAAGGGGUCUCCCAAAUCAUACAUAGAAUUUUGCAUAUGAUUACAUUUUAAAGGGUUAUAACAUUGCCUCCUUAAAUAUGCCACUGCAUGCUGACCAGAAGAAUUAAGCAGAUCUAAAAAUCCCUUGCAGACUAUUCACUCCAACUAUUAGAUGCAGAGGUGCAAAACUAUACCAAAUUAGCAUUGUAAAAAAUCACUUGCAUUGUAGACACUAUAAGGAAGUAGUUAAAAAGAAAUUUACUCUGAUUUUUUUUUCAUUAUUUCCUGUGACAGCUGAGGACACUCAUGUUUGCAGAAAUGUUUUCAUUUUCAUUUAGAUCCCCCUUCUGUUUGAUAUUAGCAAAAGUAACAAUGCACUGUUUAUAUCCCAUCUGUUGUUGGCGUCAAAGAAUUCUUAUGGCCAUGGAAUUGAUCAUGAAGAGGAACAAGGAGAGUCAUGAAAAGAUGAAAACUAUUCUGUUAAAUGCCUUUGUAAUCAAACUACUGGAUCUGAGAAAAAAAGUACCAACUGAAUUUCCAUGUAUUUAAAAUUUUUUGUGUGUGAAAACAUAUAGCAAUUGGAAAUCUGUCAAGGCAAGUAAAAAACUUUUCCCAAUGUUAAUGAAAUUUGACUCAUGAUAUUUAUCUACAAGACAUAAAAAUAUAGAUGGAUCCCAGAUACUCAGGAGGCUGAGGCAGCAGGAUCACUGGAGCCCAGGAGUUCGUACUGGUGGAGAAAAACAUUACUCACGUGGUGACAAAGUACCAGGCAGUUGUAAUGCACAGCCAGAGUUAAGAUUCCCUGCUCCUUAAAAGGGGUUCCCAGACUCGCAGCAUAUCGGCGUCACUGGCAGACCCACUGCGUCAGCAUGUGCAGCUGAACCAUGUCCCAGGUGAUCAGUGAUUCAUGGUGACUCGUCAUCCAAGAGCGUGUUCCUCUUGGCUUUCCCCACCUCCCUGCUUUAUGCUCUAAUCUCUGCCUGAACCAUCAUUUCUCAUGACUCCUGCGCUUCCUCCUUCCCAUGGGGUAAAGUCCACACUUUUAAUGUGGCCUCCAGCCCUUUGCAGUCUGUCCAGUCUCCCCUUCAGUCUCUUUUAACAUCACGUGAACCCUCCACUCCAGUCAAAACUCCCUGUAGUUUUUGGCCUCUCAGAUCCUGUGUCAUUCCUGCUUUUUUUCCCCCUUUGAAACCUGAGAUUAAACCCUGCUGGCUCUGGGAAGCCACUUCUAACUGCCAUGACACAGCACAAUAUCCCUUUCCUCCGGCACUUACUGUUUCACAAUUUGGUGAGCAUGGCAUGCUGCCUUAUACUGUGAUUUAAUCCUUUUUAAAGGUUGAGGUAUAAAAUAACAUAAACUGUGUAAACAGUCCUGAUCUUAAGUGUUCUUGAUUUUUUUUUUUAACAUCUGGGUACGCCUUGUCCAUUUUUCUUUUUCUUUGUAUGUUUUAUCUACCUAUCUGUACUGAAUAUCAUUUAAGGGCAGAAGCAUGUUCUCAUCUCUAGAAAGAAGCCCCACAUGGCAUGCAUGUUUUGGACUAAAUCUUUCCCUGGAUUGUCAUUUAAAACGUUUUUAAAUUUAAAAAACUAUUUAUUUUUAUUUUUUUGAGACAGUCUCACUCUGUCACCCAGGCUGGAGUGCAGUGGCACAAUCAUGGCUCACAGCAACUUCCCCCUCCUGGGUUCAAGGGAGUCUCCUGUCUCAGCCUCCCGAAGUAGCUGGGAUUACAGGUGUGCACCAUCAUGCCUGGCUAAUUAUUUUUUUGCAUUUUUAGUAGAGACGGGGUUUCACCCUGUUGGCCAGGCUGGUCUCGAACUCCUGACCUCAGGUGAUCUGCCCACCUCGGCCUCCCAAAGUGCUGGGAUUACAGGUGUGAGCCACCACGCCCCACCUGUAUUGUCAUUUUGAGUAAACACUGCUGAAUUGUUUGUCCUGGCAUUUCUCAGCAGGGAGAGGAUGUACAAACCCUGAAGAACAGAGGCAAACAUUUCAUUGUGGACAAAUGCUGUGAAGGAAGAGGACACAGCUCUUGAGUGUCCAUACUUGGGACUCUGUGCGCUUAGGGUGCCUGCUUUACCUGCCUGUCUGCUGUCAUCAGAAAGCUCGAGGCACUAUCAGGAGUGACCACCCAGGCCAGGCACACGUUUGCUAUGCAGUGCAAGGAGCCCACUGUGGGAGGCACCACACCAGGCCCAGAGACUGACACUAUGACAGACAUUGCCUGGCCCGGGCUCCCUAUGGAAUUUGCAAUCUAAUGUAGAAAAACAAACCUAGGUAAACCAGACAGCAUUUUGCUAAUUCCAGUCAGUUGAUUCAACACAAAAACAAAAACAGGGGUCUGCUCAUCAGUUUCCUUAGUGUCCACUGGCUUGCAGCUUUUUGCUAUAAAGAUCUUGAGCUUUGGACUUUGGCUACAGAAUUGCCAAGAGGAUGUUGUGUUUUUGCAGAGGAAGUCCCUCCCUUCUGCUUUAUAGUGUGCUUGGCCAGCUGAUGCUGAUACUAUGCUCAGUUAAUAAGGUUCUCUUAUCAGACUGGUGCUUAUUUUCAGCACUUUUUUUUUUUUGAGAUGGAGUUUCGCUCUUGUUGCCCAGGCUGGAGUGCAAUGGCGCGAUCUCGGCUCACCGCAACCUCCACCUCCCGGGUUUAAGCAAUUCUCCUGCCUCAGCCUCCCAAGUAGCUGGGAUUACAGGCAUGUGCCACCAUGCCCGGCUAAUUUUGUAUUUUUAGUAGAGACGGGGUUUCUUCAUGUUGGUCAGGCUGGUCUCGAACUUCCAACCUCAGAUGAUCUGCCUGCCUCGGCCUCCCAAAGUGUUGGGAUUACAGGCGUGAGCCACUGCACCUGGCCCAGCAGUCUUUUCCAAAUCAAAGACAGCAGGGCGGGCACACAGUGUCCAAACCUCAUGGUCUGCCUGUAUUUAAAAGGCAUCUAGAUACAUUGGCAUUCCUUCAGCAAGAAACAGCUUUAGUAAGAAAAUUCCCCAGCAGCACACACAGUAUCAUCUGGGUUCCUGAACUGAAAUAAACUAAAAGUAGAGGAAAGUAUUUUGUGAAUUAAUCCAGUCUACCUUUUUUCUUUCAAUCCUAAAUCCAUGUUAGAAAUUGUGCACUUGAAGGCGGAAAAAUGAAAGGAAGAAAUAUAACUAGUAGUUAAAUGGAAGAUUAACUAGUUAACUAGUUCCCUGAUGUGUUUCAGUUGGAUACUUUUGUAAAUUAUAUCCAUCUUUGGUGUAGGGAAGUUUCAAUGUGAAAAAAAAUCUUGUAGUUAUGAAGAAACAAUUACAGUGAAGAAGCCAGGGGACCGGGCGCGGUGGCUCACGCCUGUAAUCCCAGCACUUUGGGAGGCCGAGGCAGGCGGAUCACUUGAGGGUCAGGAGUCCGAGACAAGCCUGGCCAACAUGGUGAAACCCCGACUCUACUAAAACAACAACAACAACAACAAAAACAAAAAUUAGCCAGGUGUGUUGGUGCGCAUCUGUAGUCCCAGCUACUCAGGGGGCUGAGGCAGGAGGAUCGCUAGAACCUGGGAGGUGGAGGCAGCAGUGAGCCGAGAUCGUGGUGGCACUUCAGCCUGGGCGACAGUGAGACUCCGUCUCAAAACAGCAACAACAAAAAUAAGCCAGGGAUCCUAGAAAUAUGCAAGAAAAAGCCAUACUAACCAAACAAAAAUUUAAGUGCUAAGACUGAGGGUGAAUUUGGAAAAAUAUCAUGCUUUCUGACCCAAAUCUACCUCAGAAUUUUUUUUUUUCCUUUUUUUGAGACUGAGUUUCAUCCUUGUUGCGCAGGCUAGAGUGCAAUGGCGCAAUCUUGGCUCACCUCAACCUCCGCCUCCCAGGUUCAAGCAAUUCUCCUGCCUCAGCCUCCUGAGUAGCUGAGAUUACAGGUGUGCAGCACCACGCCCAGCUAAUUUCAUAUUUUUAGUAGAGGCGGGGUUUCUCCAUGUUGGUCAGGCUAGUCUCAAACUCCUGACCUCAGGUGAUCUGCCCACCUCAGCCUCCCAAAGUGCUGGGAUUACAGGCGUGAGCCACUGUGCCCCGCAAUUCUUUUUUCUUAAGUGUUUUUUAAAACAGGAUGCACACUCACAUCCAAUAACAUGCAGUUUAAAAUGAUUUAAUUGACAAAUUCUUGUGAUUUACAUUUCAGUAAUCAACUGCAAAAGUGAGGAAGUAAUUCAUGGGCCUGUAGUGCUUUUGAAAAUAAUAUUUAUGACUCAUAAAAAUGUACAUUCAUAAUAGUAUGACAUGGACAUAUUUUAAGAAAGUUCAAGCAUAUACAAGCAUUGUUUAAUCUCACAAAAUAUAUUAAUUUUGUUGGGAAUAUGUGCAUUAUAAAAGGGUCUUUAGUUUACCAAAGGGUUCAACACUAAGCUAUUUUUAAAGUUGUAAUUAUUUUUUCCAAUCUAAAGAGGGGUUAAGGCCAGGUGCAGUGGCUCAUGCCUGUAAUCCCAGCACUUUGGGAGGCUGAGGUGGGCGGAUCACCUGAGGUCAGGAGUUCAAGACCAGCCUGGCCAACAUAGUGAAACCCUGUCUCUACUAAAAAUACAAAAAAACUAGCUGGGCAUGGUGGUGCACACCUGUAAUUCCAGCUACUCGGCAGGCUGAGGCAGGAGAAUCACUUGAACCCGGGAGGUGGAGGUUGCAGUGAGCAGAGAUCGCGCCACAGCACUCCAGCCUGGGCAACAGAGCGAGACUCUGUCUCAAAAAUAAAAUAAAAGAGGGGUUAAGACUCAUGCUGUCUUCACACAUGGCCCUGCACAACCAUGUGGAGGACAGGAGGGAUAUUCUUGAGAGAUGCUGGGCAGACAACUAACAAGUGUCCCUUAAAGCACACUUCUGAACAAUGUCCAGUCAAAUAUAAAAUAACUUAAAUAUGAGGGUCACUCCUCAUCUGCACGCACCUGUUACACUUUUUUUUUCCUUACUCAUUUACACUGGGAAACAUGUUAUAAUAGUGAAUAGUUGGUUAUGAAUCUUUCAAAGAACUUGGAAGGGCCCCUAUAAUUAUUUUCUGAAACAAUGGAAUUCUCUUAUGGAAAAAUCUUCCAGUGAAGGAAAGGGUAAGUUAAAAAAAACUUGAAUUAACUUAGGUUAGCAUGCUUGCCAAGGCAAAAGCAAGUUGCUUUUCUCCAUGUUUCGAGGCUAUGAGAAAGCGGUGGAUACAUGCUUUACUUUUCAGCCAGAAAAUACGCACUGCCAUUCCUGAGAAGAUGGCAGGCAGCACAGCUGGGCUCUAGCCUUAAAGACUCAAGCUUUCUCCUUCCUUCCAGUCCUACCUCUUUACUUCUCAGAUUUCCAGCUGGCUGGAUGUAUACAUAAAUGACUUGCAUGGCUAAGUAAAACAUUCCAGCUUAUAUUUUCAAGGAUUUCCAAGAGUUCUUGCUUUUGGACAAAUUAAUAAAUGCAAAUUAGAACUUAAAACGCAGUUCUAAUUUUAUUUCUAUUUUUGGUUGUUAAAAUCAAAACAAAACCUACACACACACAGUCCUAGGGUUUUCUCAAACGAAAUCAACAGUUCUUUGGCAAUGUUAAGAGUGUGUAACAUGACUGCCAUGCUAAUUAGCAUAAUUUAUAAGACUUCUAAUAGUGUUGAAACAGGAAAAUAACUAUAAACUUGUUAGAGAAGUUCGUUUGAAAGACACUGUCAAAUGUCACACUAAGUCUUUUUAAAAACUCAAUUUAGUAAGUAGAAAAUAUAAAUGAACAAAUUUAAUUUUUCCAGAUAAUAAAGGAAGUUAUUCGGCAUUUUUCCCAGUUACGCAAAGACAAUUAUCACGUGAAAAAUUUAUAGAAUGUAAGCAGUAAGAGAGUAUUAUGCAAAAAUAUCCUAAGGUAAUUUCAGUAUAAAUUAUAGGACCACAUUUAUUAAUAAUAUACGUUAUGAGAACAAUCAUUUGCAGUCUCACUGUGAAGGCAAAAAAAAAAAAAACAAAAACCAAAACCCAAAGGAUAAACAGAAAUAGCACAGUCCACCGAAUACACUGCAUGGUGUUUAUAACUGUAUAACCAAACUAAGUAAUCUUUCCCCUCUCUUUAACUUUUAUGCACCACCUGCCAUUCUAGAUACUAUCAAUCACACUAAAUAAUAAUAAAAACCAACCACCUUCAAUCUGAUCAUUCUGGGCAGGAAACUGAAUACAGUUUUGACCAGAUCUUCGAGAAAGAUUCAUAUACACGAAAUUAACUAGUUCUGUUAAAAGGCUGCUAUAAAAAUACCAUCAUUACGAGCUAUACAGAACUUUAGAAUCCAGCUAAGAGUGCAGAAAUACUGAAUUUCUUAAUUUAUGUGGAGGGGGCUGUAAACCCAAAGGUAGAAGGGCAUUUCAGCAUUCUGGCGUGUUCAGAGUUUCUAGGGUAUAGUAUCUCUCUAACACACAGAGAGCAUUUCAAAGGGUGGCUAUGGCCAGGAAACCUCAGAGCGGGUUCUGCCGUCACACUUGAUCCCGAAGGCGGGCCAGUCUCUGAGACAGUUCAUCCUGCUCCGCCGAAGCCACGCUCGUGCCCACGGAGCCGGUCUGGCCCUGCGGCAGCUCCAUGUUGAGGUCGAGGCCCGCCUCAUCUGCCAUUUCCUGGAGCAGCAUAUCCACUUGGUUCUGGGGAGUGGUGAGCGUCGUCGUGCUGCUCAUCGUGUCUUCCAUUUGCUGCGUCUGGACGUCCAGAGUCUCAAACUGGUGCUCGAAUUUGUCCAUCAAAGCAGAAAUCUUCUCCAGAUUCAUGGUCUUCAAUGUCGCAUCCAUCGACUUAACCACACCAGCCAUCGACUUGGUCACCUUGCCCAUCGUCACCGCCGUCUGGACCCUGGCAGCCACUGCAUCGACUCGCGCACUCAUUCUCAAGAAAUUCACCGCCUGGUUCUUCUGGCGGAUGGCAUUUUCGGCGUGUAUCCUCGCAACUUCCAUGUUGCCCUUCUGAAUGGCCUUUUUAAUUUUGGCCUUUUCGGCCUUUUCCUCCUUAUCGCAUUUUUUGGCACUCCUACUCAGUUCUUUGGCCGCGAACUUCAGGUUGAACAGGUGUUUCUCCAUGUUAGACAUAGUCGGACGGCUCCUUUGGGUCGGCGGCCCGGCUGAGAAGCGCGCCGAAGGCAGAGAAGGUAAGGUAAGUCCGCUCCCGGCCGCCGCUCCUUUGUUUUGGUCCCACUUCCUGUUUCUACUGUGAGCGGCGCAGGUGGUGACGUCAGAGCCCAGCGCCAAAGGCGGAGCCUGCGGGACGGAAGGCGCCGGGGUGGGGCCUGUGGGACGUAAGACGCCAGGGGCUGCGCAUGCAGGGGGAUUCUGGCUGGACGCUCCGGCGCUGCGGCGGGGAACGCUCGCUUCCUGCGCUGCGUUCUACCCGGUUUUUAAAAUUCUAACGCAUUAGUCAAUUCACAAAAAUUAGUGCCCCCACGCACUUUCCUAGUAAUAAAUCUACCGAAGUAGACAGGAUCUGUGGAGACCCGCGUGUAAAAUUACCCACGCUCCAAACUUGGCAGGCUUUAUAAAGGGUGACUGGCUAGCGGGCUAAAAACCAGCCAAACAUCAGCUAGGUCUUCGCACUAACGCUUGCUUUAUUAGCAUGGGUAAUUUCCACUUUCUCAGGGGAACUGGAAACCAUGGAUACAUUAAAAACAAAAACAUUAAAACACAUUAAAAACAAACGGGUCAUUGACGCGUCUCCAUCUUUGACUACAAUUUGUGCUAGAGUUCUGUAAUAUCCUUUUAUUGCAUUGAGUGAAAAUAAUCUUCAAAACUGUGGCACCACCAAAUUUAUACUUUGUCUGGAAGUUCAGCUUCUAGGUGAGUUGCCAGCAAUUAUCCAAAAAUCGUCCCGUGGUUUAGUAAUAAAAAGACCCAUCUUUUGCUGACACCAUUCUGUCUUUUUGAUGUUUUAUAAAUAUCCAAGGAACUUCACUCACAUUUAAGUUUGACAGGCUAAACUGUCAUUUUAAAUUAUGCAGGCAGAGUAUGUUGAGAUAUCAGGACCCACACCCACGGGCAUACAUCAAAACUGUCACUAUGUAUUACGCCCUUUAAAAAUGCUGGCUUUCAAAUGGCAGCAAUGUGUGCUGUCACUUUUCUCUUUAGAAAGAUUCCUCCGAUACAGCAAUAACAAUGUGAGAAGACCAAAUCUGCCCUAAUGAGGUAGGCUGAAAAUGAACUCUGAGAGCGAAUUCUGUUUAGAGAUCAUUUUAAUCUAGCAGCCUGCCACCUCGCUUAGCUUCCUGUGAUAGCUUGCCAGUCAGUUUCACAACACAAGACCUUCUGAAGACAUAGCUCUGAUGUUUUCACUCUCUUGCUCCAAACCCCGGGCAUGGAGGCUAAACCUGCUGUGCAGCAUGCUGGCUCGUCUUUCGCGCCCCUCCACCUCCGCCAGUCAAAGCAAACCGCAGCAUGGAAUUUGAGCAUUAUUUGCGUCAUUCGGCCAGCGGGGAGAAUGUGACUGACGCCCGGUCCUGUGGCUAUGCUGUUCCUGUUGCCUGGAUUUUAGUGUCCAUGCAUCUCUGCCUAUUGACACCCUGCCAGUCCUUCAAAAGCCACCUUCACCAUGGAGCCUCCCCAGGACUCCUCCUCUGUGUGGCCAUACUACAGGGCACAUUGCCUGGCAAGGGGUCUGUGUGUAUAGGUCACCUGUUACAGUGUGAACUACUUGGAUGCAGACACUGAUUCCUUCCCCUCUCCAUGGAGCCCAGCAGGCGCUCUGCACACAGCAGCCACUGAAUCCAGAUGGCGUUGCUGAAUUUAAUUGUAUUUCAGAGGGGAUAGGAUGUUACCCUAGUUAGCAGCUUAGCUAUGGUUCCUUUUUGCCCCGCAAAGCAGUAGAACCCUUUUUCCAAAUGAAACUUUUCUAGAAAUGGAAUAUAAACAACCAAAAAAAAGGGGAAGAAAUCUGUUCAAAGUGGAUAUAGAGAGCUUAGGCCCCCUACUCUGCUCACCCUCCAUUCCACUCUUCCCUUCUUUUAGGUCCUGGUUUUUCUUGGAGUUUGCAAACAAGUUUCUUAUCCAGCUUCCAUGUCAUGCUCCAUAGUUUUCUUUUUUCUUUUCUUUCUUUUUUUUUUUUUUUUUUUUGAGAUGAAAUCUUGCUUUGUCACUCAGGCUGGAGUGCAGUAGUGUGAUCUUGGCUCACUGCAGCCUCCCCCUUCUGGGUUCACGCGAUUCUCCUGCCUCAGUCUCCCGAGUAGCUGAGAUUACAGGCACACGCCAGCACUACCGGCUAAUUUUUGUAUUUUCAGUACAGCUGGGGUUUCGCCAUGUUGGUCAGGCUGGCCUCGAACUCCUGACCUCAGUUGAUCUGCCCACCUUGGCAUUCCAAAGUGCUGGGAUUAUAGGCGUGGGCCACCGUGCCCAGCCCAUAGUUUUCUUAAUGACAAAUUCUGACUAGGUGAGAUGGUUUGGAAUAUAAUCAUGAGAGACUCCGAUAGAUGAUGAUGAUAAUGACAACUAACAUUAAUAAAGUACUUAUGCACCAGACAUUGUUCUGGGCACUUUACAUAAAUUAACUCAUUUCAGCUUCGCAAACCCUAUGAAGUAGAUACUAUAAAUGUCUCCAGUUCACAGGUAAUGAAAAGGAAGCACAGAGAGCUAAGAAACUUGCCUGAACCCACACAUUAGGUAAGUGUUAGAAACCGGAUUCCAUGGAUGUAUUGGGACCAGUAAUAAGGCAAUGGGGAAUCCAAUGAACAUGAAUUAAUAAGAAUAAAAUAAUGAUCAUCAUGUAGCCUAAAGAAAGAAGUUGACUUUCCAGCUGUUUUUUUGAGAAGACAGAGUUGCAUUGACUGCAAAGUUAAUAUGAACUUUAUAAAGUGUGGUUGUUGACUGGGCAUGGUGGCUCAGGAAUGUAAUCCUAGCACUUUGGGGGGCUGAGGUGGGUGGAUCGCUUGAGGCCAGGGGUUCAAGACCAGCCUGGCCAACAUGGGGAAAGCCCGUCUCUACUAAAAAUACAAAAAUUAGCUGGGUGUGGUGGUGCAUGCCUGUAAUCCCAGCCACUUGGAAGGCUGAGACAGGAGAAUCGCUUGAACUGGAAAGGUGGAGGUUGCAGUGAGCUGAGAUCACGCCAGUGCACUACAGCCUGGGUGACAGAGAGAGACUCCUUCUCAAAAAAAAAAAAAGAAAAGAAAAAAAAAGAAAAAGUAUGGUUGCUAAAAGAAGUUGCCAUCACCUGAAGCUACAUUCCUUGGAUGAUGACACCUCUACUUUCUGUGCUGGAGAGAAGGUAUAGGUGGAGUUCCAGAAGCCAUCUUCCCAGAGAGACCAGGGCUGACUAGAAUUCUGAAGAGAAGGCUGUUCUCCUCCUCUCCCUGACAGUUCCCCAGCCCUGCCCUCUUCUUUCUCUUAUCAACACCCCAGCCAUUUCCACGGUGUUCAAUAGGAUCCAUAGCUAACUGCUCUCAUGUUCACAUUUCCACGGAGAGAUUUGCUUCUGAGCUCCAAACCCAUAUGCCCAGCUGUCUCCUUGGUGCUGGGCGCUCUGUGGCCCAAGACUGAUUGGCAACUCCUCAAAGUGACUGAACUCAGUCCUUUCCCCCAAAUCUGCUCAUUCCCAUUUACUACUGGCACCUCCAUCUACCUUGUCAUUCGAGUUGGAUUUGGAAGAAUUAUCUCUGACCACCGUGGUAUCUGAAUCUGCAUCUACCCUGGCUCUAAGUUUUUUCCAUUCUUUAUAUUCCAUUGAGGUUGACAACCUUCAGGGUCUGUUUCAGCUUGGUAUGCUUUCUCUUUUUGUGUAUCUAGCAAAAGGAAGAUUAUUUUGGGAUUAUUAUUAAAGGAGGUUUUGGUCCUACAACCAUGCUAAUUGUACGUGAAAAUGUUUUGGACCCAAUACAGAUGUGAAAACAGAACAUACAGUUUAUAAUGACUGGAAUUGUUUAGCAACUACCACGUUAACAUUGAAACCUUGCAAGUCCCAUAGCCAAAUUUUCUUAGUGAAAAAAAAAGAAAUUUUUGAUUAAAGUGCAGACAUUUCUAGAAAGCUGCGGGUCAAACCAGUUAAUUAUUUUUAUCAUGAAAUGGGGAAGAAAAAUAUGCUAUCAUUUGGCACAUCUGGCUGAUUUCUUUCCUUACUUUGAAAUAAUACAAGUGGUUAAAAUGAAAAUAUUUAAGCAGGACAUUCAGUUUUACUUCACUGGAAAAGAAUCAUUUGCUAAGUCUGAAGUCACUCAAAAAAAAAAAAAAGAAAAUAAAAGAUGUGAAAAAUAACUUUCUCUUGUGAGUUAAACUAUUUCUGGAUUCUCAUCAGUAUGUUUCUGGUGAUUUUGAAAUGUUAUAUCUCAAACUAAGGGCUCCUCCUACUUAUCACAGUUUGCAUUUUUUGCAUAUAUUUGUGUUUGCUGAGCAGCAGGCUUUCCUAUUAGGUGUGGCAUGGUGACCUCUGGUUGACUACCUAUACCUGGUACUAUUCAACCUCUGGAAAACAGAUACCCAAUAAAUUUCUGUUGAAUGUAGGAAUAUAUGAAUGUAGCCAAAGGAAAUGGCAUUGGAUACAUAUUCACUUGGUGACCAUUUUGAGGAAUACAUUACAUAUAUGUAUAUAUAUAUUAUACAUUACAUACAUAUAUAAUAUUAAUUUAUUACACAUGUAUUAAAUGUAUGUAUAUAUAUAUUUUCCUCUGCAUCACCUUUUUAUUUGGGAACACAGCUAGAAUUAAAAACGCUGAGACUCCUCAAGCCUUGGGAAAUUUCAAAGUCACUGUCCAGGGCUGGGUGUGAUGGCCGAUGCCUGUAAUCACAACACUUUGGGAGGAUGAGGCGGCCCAGGAGUUUGAGGUUGCAGUGGGCUAUGAUGGCCCCACUGCACUCCAUUCGGGGUGACAGAACAAGAUCCUGUCUCAAAAACAACAACAACAAAACAAAACCAAAGUCACUGUCCCUCAAAAUAUGUUAACAACAGCCUGGACAAGAUGGCAAGACCCGGUCUCUACAAAAAAUAAAAAAUAAAAAUUAGCUGGGCAUGGUAGCAUGUGCCUGUAGUCCCAGCUACUUGGGAUGCUGAGGUGGGAGGAUCUCUGUGUCCAGGAGUUCGAGACUACAAUGAGCUAUAAUCAUGCCACUGUAUUCCAGCCUGGCUGACAGAGUGAGUCUGUGUGUGUGUGUGUGUGUGUGUGUGUGUAUAUUUAUAUAUAUAUUUAUAUUUAUAUAUUUAUAUAUGUAUUUAUAUAUUUAUAUAUAAAAAAAUGAUGUCGAUUUAAAAAUAAAAAUAAGAAAGAGAAAGAAAUAGAACAGCAGCAUGUAAACAGAAUUCUGCAUUCCUCCAUCUGCAGUUUAAAUGCACGGUUUAUUAUUCCUCUUGGUGAUGUGGUGAGUUAAUACUGUUAUGAGAAACCUAACUUCCAUGUUAGUCGAAGUUGGCAUUCACUCAUUUAGCAACACAGUGAUUCUCCUCCUCCUUCUUUACACUGAACAACUUACCACUUUGAGAAGCUGAAAAUGAAAUCUCAACACACCUGUCCCUCUAAGGCUGGUACGGGAUGCCUCUCUUUUCUGGCCUCAAUUUCCUCAUUUAUAAAGCUGGAAAAAAUAAGGCCUAUGAUCUAACAGUGGGUAAUAAUCCCUCAUCAGGUCAGAUCACCAGAGAGGGCCACUCAAAACCGCUUAACUUAAAAAAUCCCUGAAACAAGACUUACUAAGAGAAAAAAAUGUAUUAUUUAAGUGGCGUUUUCCUGGCAGUUUGUAUUGGAUAUUUGCAAAUAUUGUGAAGACCAUAUAGAGCUGACACAGCAAAACUGAGAAGGCUGACUGGGCCCCUUCUCUCUCUGUCUCUCUCCCCCUCUCCCUCCCUCUCUCUUUCUCUCUCUCUCUCUCUCUUUUCUCUUCCUUCCUUCCCUCUCUCCCUCCCUCCCUUCCUUCCUUUAUUUCUUUCCUUCAGGGUGUCACUCUGUUACCCGGAGUGGCGCAAGCUACCUCUGCCUCAACUGGGCCCAUUUCUCUCUGACUCCUCUAGUUGGAGAGCAUUUUGUAGGAGGAAAAUCUACUCCUUUGGUCAGGUUCCUACAAACUAACGUACAAACUCAAGCAAUAUGGCAGGGAACCAAACACGUGAAAUAUUGUUAGGUCUAUGAAACACACGAUAUAUUCCUCUUUCCAAUCUGUGUUCUUAUUAUUUGUUAGCAGUCUUUAUUAUGCUACUUUUUUUUUUAUUUUCAAGAAAAGUGCACUCUCCUGCACACAGCAUUUUGCCAUAUCUCACAGCUGUCUGGUUGACUACUGGGAAACAUAGUUUAUUCUGAAAACAUGCUUCUGGAUGGAAAAUGAUUUUACUAUUACAAACCUGAAGAUAGAAGGACAGGAUUGCGUCUGGCGUAAUACGGUACAAAUCCCACCUCUGAAGGAAUAUGGAAGCCAGUUGUUCUUACGUAAUUUUUAUGUUUAACCUGAACAUUAAGCUUACAAUCUAUAAGUUAAAAAUAGCGAGGCUGGGCGUGGUGGCUCACAUCUGUAAUCCCAGCACUUUGGGAGGCUGAGGUGGGCGGAUCACAAGGUCAGGAGAUUGAGACCAGCCUGGCUAACAUGGUGAAACCCUGUCUUUACUAAAAAUACAAAAAUCAGCCGGGUGUGGUGGCACAUGCCUGUAGUCCCAGCUACUUGGGAGGCUGAGGCAGGAGAACCGCUUGAACCCAGGAGGCGGAGGUUGCAGUGAGCCAAGAUCACAUCAUUGCACUCCAGCCUGGGCAACAAGAGUGAAACUCCAUCUCAAAUAAAAUAAAAUAAAAUAAAUCAAAAAAUAAAUAAAUAAAAAAUAAAAAUGGCGAAUGUACAAAUUGGCCAGUUAAUUUUGUUGCACAUUAAAAUCUUCUCUCGUCCUCCUCGGGGAGCACCUUCUGUUCAUGAUGGGAACAGAUUGUGAGAAGUCAGGAGCUCUUCCCAGGGCUAGUCUGCAUUGAGUAUUGGUAGAUGGUGGUGGAGGGAAAAAGCAUUUUUCUUCUUCACUGCUGUUCCCGGGGACAUGUGUGUGCAGCUGACUCACUCGUACCCUUAAUUGAUGCUGUGAUUGAUCUGCCUUAGACCCAGCUUUUACUUAGCAUCAUGUCUCAAUUAGAUUAAGUUUAAGGCACAAGUGAUUUAAAACGGCCAUGGCCACAGAAUGGAGAGCACUGGUUCCAGGAACCAUGUAUCCUGAGAACCUAUUUAUUUAUUUAUUUUGAGAUAGAGUUUCGCUCUUGUCACCCAGGUUGGAGUGCAGUGGUGUGAUCUCGGCUCACUGCAACCUCUGCUUCCCGGGUUCAAGCGAUUCUCCUGCCUCAGCCUCCUGAGUAGCUGGGACUACAGGCGCCCGCCACCACGCCCAGCUAAUUUUUGCAUUUUUAGUAGAGACAGGGUUUCACUGUGUUGGCCAGGCUGGCCUCAAACUCCUGACCUCAGGUGAUCUGCCUGCCUCGGCCUCUCAAAGUGCUGGGAUUACAGGCGUGAGCCACUGUGCCCGGCCCUGAGAACCUUUCAAUUUAAAAUCCCUUCAAUUCUAGUCUAACCCACACACUUCAUGUAAAGUAAGGAGUCAUUAGCCAUUAGUGUCCAUGGAAGGCUAAUCUUGGCCAUUUCUUUUCGUCAAGGAAUAACUGUAAUUAAACUUUUCGGCCAAAACAUAAAGUUUUUUGUUUUUUUUUGAGAUGGAGUUUCACUCCCGUUGCCCAGGCUGGAGUGCAAUGGCACAAUCUCGGCUCACUGAAACCUCUGCCUCCCAGGUUCAAGCGAUUCUCCUGCCUCAGCCUCCCAAGUAGCUGGGAUUACAGGCAUGCACCACCAUGCCCUGCUAAUUUUGUAUUUUUAGUAGAGAUGGGGUUUAUCCAUGUUAGUCAGGCUGGUCUCAAACUCCCGACCUCAGGUGAUCUGCCCACCUCGGCCUCCCAAAGUGCUGGGAUUACAGGUGUGAGCCACUGUGCCUGGUGACAUAACGAUUUUGUUAGUUUAAGCUACUGUCUUUCGUUAGGAAGCAAAAUGGUAUUAGAAAUCAAAUAUAACUUAACUUGGUGAGUCCUACUAGAAAUAAUUUAUUUUUAACAUCUCUUUAUUUCUUUCCUUUUUUUCUUUUCUUCUUAUCUAUUUAUUUAUUUUUGAGACAGAGUCUUGCUCUGUCGCCCAGGCUGGAGUGCAGUGGUGCGAUCUCAGCUCACUGCAACCUCCACCUCCCUGCUUCAAGUGAUUAUCCUGCCUCAGCCUCCUGAGUAGCUGGGAUUACAGGUGUGCACCACCACUCUCCGCUAAUUUUUGUAUUUUUAGUAGUAAAAAAUUUUACAUAUUUUCUAUUUUUAGUAGGUGAAACCAUAUUGGUCAGGCUGGUCUUGAAUUCCUGACCUCAGGUGAUCCACCCACCUUGGCCUCCCAAAGUGCUAGGAUUACAGGCGUGAGCCACCACACCCAGCCCCUUUUUUCUUUUUUUUUUUAGCGACAGGGUCUUGCUUUGUUGUUCAGCUGCAGUACAGUGGCACAAUCAUAGUCCAAUGUAGCCUCAAACUCCUGGGCUCAAGGGAUCUUUUCACCUUGGCCUCCCAACAUGUUGAGAUUACAGGCAUGAGCCACUGUGCCUGGCCUUAACAUCUCUUUAGAAUGUGAAAAAUCCUCUAACAAAGCAGAAUACUUAUCACUUUUGUACCUUUAUAAUGUACCAUAAUAGCAUUCAGUUUCUUCUGAAACAGUCAACACCCUAAAGUCACUCAACAGUGAAACAGUCAACAAUCAAAUAGUCAACAGUUGAAAGAAGGCCAAAGAUGAAUGUUUUUAAAAGAAGUGCUAACUUUACAAUGAGUAUGAACUAAGUCAGGGGUCUCCAAACCCUAGGCCACAUUCUCAUGCUGUGUGAACCAGGCCACACAGCAGGAGGUGAGUGCCAGCCAGCAAGCAAAACGUCAUCUGUAUUUACAGCUGUUCCCCAUCAAUCGCAUUACCACUUGAGCUCCACCUCCUGUCAUAUCAGCGAUGGCAUUAGAUUCUCAUAGGAGCACGAACCCUAUUGUAAACUUUGCAUGUGAGGGAUCUAGGUUGCAUGCUCCUUAUGAGAAUCGAAUGCCUGAUGAUCUGUCACUGUCUCCCAUCACCCCCAGAUGGGACCAUCUAGUUGCAGGAAAACAAGCUCAGGGGUCCCACUGAUUCUACAUUAUGGUGAGUUAUAUAAUUAUUUCAUUAUAUAUUACAACGUAAUCGUAAUAGAAGAGCACAGUAAACGUAAUGCACUGGAUUCAUCUUGAAACCAUCCACCCCACCACGGUCCAUGGAAAAAUAGUUUUCCACGAAACCAGUCCCUGGUGCCAAAAAGGCUGGGGGCCGCUACACCAAGUCAUUAGAUAUAAGAUAUCUGAACUAGGCCGAGCGCGGUGGCUCAUGCCUGUAAUCCCAGCAAUUUGGGAGGCCAAGGCAGGUGUAUCACCUGAGGUCGGGAAUUCGAGACCAGCCUGACCAACAUGGAGAAACCCUGUCUCUACUAAAAAAAAAACAUAUACAAAAUUAACUGGGCAUGAUAGCACAUGCCUGUAAUCCCAGCUACUCGGGAGGCUGAGGCAGGAGAAUUGCUUGAACCCGGGAGGCGAAGGUUGAGGUGAGUCGAGAUUGCACCAUUGCACUUCAGCCUGGGCAACAACAGCGAAACUCCGUCUCAAAAAAAAAAAAAAUCUGAACUAAAAUAUAACAUAUGUUUUCUUUCGUUAUUUGAUGGAGUUGGGCUACAAUCUUCCAGUUCAUACGUAUAUUCCACAAACAUUUACUGAGUUUCAGGCUAGAGAAUGAACAGUAUGGGGGAUAGGUAAGUAAUUCCCUAUGCAAACCUGAUGCAUUUGUAACAUUCCAUAAAGCAGAGGUUUUUAUCUUCCCCAGAAUUUCUUCUCAUGGAAGGAUCCCCGCAGUUGGGAAGCAGAGGUGCUCACAGAGCUUCCUCCAUAAAUCUGAUGAAUGAGGAAUUCUAGCAGGUAUUUCUUUCUUUCUUUCUUUUUUUUUUUUUUUUUUGAGACAGACCCUUACUCUGUUGCCCAGGCUGAAGUGCAGUGGCAGGAUAUUGGCUCACUGCAACCUCUGCCUCCCAGGUUCAAGCGAUUCUCCUGCCUUAGCCUCCAGAGUAGCUGGGAUUACAGCAUGCGUCACCAUGCCCGACUAAUUUUUGUAUUUUUAGUAAAGGCAGGGUUUCACCAUUUUGGCCAGGCUGGUCUUGAACUCCUGACCCCAGGUGAUCUGCCCAACUUGGCCUCCGAAAGUGCUGGGAUUAUAGGCCACCGUGCCCGGCCCUAGCAGGUAUAUCUUUUCCGGGAACCACAAAGCUGUCUUCAAAUAAUCAUGAUUAACCUUGCCCUAAAUAUAAUAAAUUGUAGCUGUGACUGCCAUCUGAAAAACAAUACUUCAUAGUAAAUCUUAACAUAUUUGUAGGAGACAGUGUAUUUUAAGAUUAGUUUAGGGGUUAAAAGAGAAUUGAAAGCUGAUGAAGGCUGGGUGCGGUGGUUCAUGCCUGUAAUCCUAACACUUUGGGAGGCCGAGGUGGGCAGGUUGCUUGAGCCCAGGAGUUCAAGACCAGCCUGGGCAACACGGCGAAACCUCGUCUCUACUAAAAAUACAAAAAAUUAGCUGGGCAUCGUGGUGCACAUCUGUGAUCUUGGCUAUUCAGGUGGCUGAGGUGGGAGGUCACUUGAGCCUGGGAGGUCCAGGCCGCAGUGAGCUGUGAUCGUAGCACUGACUCCAGUCUGGGCGACAGAGUGAGACUGUGUCUCAAAAAAAAAAAAAAAAAGAAAAGAAAAAGCAAAUUCCUCAAUGUCAUUUACGUGAACUAAAUCAAAGAAAGAAGGACAAAGUGCAUUCAACAUGGCUCUUGCUCACUGGAGGCCUCCGGGUGCUUCCUCUUCUCUGCAGCUAUGACUGUGUACAUUGACUGAAUCUGUCACAGCAUUCCCGAAUACGUCCACCAGGUCUCCUGUAGAUCAUUCCAGGGAAGAACGCUAACUAUGAGAAGCACGUGGUCAACAAAGGGUAACAAAGGGAAGUCUGAGGACUCCUAGAUAAAGAGCUUUCUCAGAGGGGGUGCCCCAGAUACCAAACACACAGAUUUGCUCAGGUCACACUAUGUUUCAAAGGAAGAGCUGGAAUGAGAAACUGACCUUUGCAUCAGUGUUCACCUCUGCUGAGUCUCCUAUUUUAAAAGAGAUCUGGGAUGUCAUUAAACAUGUUCAAUUGAGGUUAAUAAAAAAUUUCCUUUUUUGGCAAAACGAUCUGUUAAGUCUUGUCUAUCUUAGAAGAUAUAUUUAGUCACUGCAUGUAUCCUGGCAGAAAGUCAUGGCAAAGCAGUUUCUUUCUUAGCAAUGACUACCUGCCUCAGUAGCUGGAUAAGGAAUCUUUCAUUCUUUCUUCACAGAAAUAAUGCAGAGCACUGCAUUUUCACAAAUAUCGAAUAGAAUGAGAAAUACGAGCAUCCCAUGCACUUAAUUGUUGUCACAUGAAUAAAAUUGUAAGUAAAUGGAAAUUCUAUUUGUGUGGAGAGUUCCUUAAGUCAGUUAAUAGAAUAAUGCCAUAGUUCAAAGGUAGCUUUUGUUGAUAUCAUGGAUCCUAGUUAUUAUGUGAUCAAGGGAGUUUGGUGAAAUAAAGAUAUUUAAUUCUAACCGCUAAUGCAUGCACUACCCUAAGAAAGGUUUUACUUUCUUCCUUUUUUGAAUGCUUUCUUUGAUAUGAAAUUAUCAAAGAGCAGCUUCCUUAUACCUUAAGUUCUAUUUGAAAAGCUUUCAUUACAUUCCUUGAUAUUGUGAACACAUUAUUAUUGUUCACUGGGACGAAGGAAGUGCUCACACAAUGCACGAUUACAGCUUUCGCUUUUCUCUGAGCUAGAACGCUUGUGCUCUAAAGGAGGCUGUGCUGUAGCACAGUUCAGCUCCUCAUUCCUUUUUGCGGUGGAAUCAUAUUCCAUUGUAGGGAUACACCACAUUUUGUUUAUCCAUUUGUCAGCUGAUGACACUUGGGUUGUUUCCACUUUUUGCCCAAUUGUGAAUAAUGCUGCUAUGAAGAGAUAUUAUGCUUACGUCUAUCUGAGCUUUAAAGAAAAAAAAUUUUUUUUUUUUUUUUUGAGGCAAGGUCUUGCUCUGCCACCCAGGCUGGAGUGCAGUGACUUGAUCAUGGCUUACUGCAGCCUCAAACUCUAGACUCAAGCAAUCCUCCCGCUUUCACCAUAUCAAGGAGCUGGGACCACAGGUGCACACCACCAUGGCCCAGCUAAUUUUUUUUUUUUUUUACUUUUAGUAGAGAUGAGGUCUCGCCAAGAUGCCCAGGCUGCUCUCAAACUCCUAGGCUCAAGUGAUCCUCCUGCCUUGGCCUCCCAAAGUGUUGAGAUUACAGGCGUGAGCCACUGUACCCAGCCAAAAAUUAAUUUUGUAUACAUAGGAAUACUGGGCUAUGAAUGGUAGAGAGAGCAGAAAAAGAACAGUGAUAACACAAAAAUCUAUUCAUGUAACAAGUUUAUUAAACACCUAUUAUAUGCCAGGCAUUGUUCUAGGCACAGUGGUACACAAUAAUUUCAUGUCAGUUAGCCCAUCAUAAUGAACAGUUUACAAAAUUUGGUUAGAUUUAGUUGUUCAUUCAUGUGGUUCAACUAUUGAAAGGAAUGAAGUAGUGAUAUAUGCUAUAACAUCUCAUAUUUAUAUGUUACUGUGUCACGCACUGCAUGGAGAAGAACAACUCCAAAUCCUAUGGAAACAACUUAGAAAUUACCUGCCAAUUUCCACAAAGAUAGUCUUUUAGAAGAGAUUUUUAAGACAUAUUUUCAGUAUGGGUACUGUAUUUUGAAUCAGUAUUUUUUGCUUUUCUAUUUCAUUUCUUCCGCCUUUCUCUCUUAAACUGAUUUUUAAAAAGACAAAGUAAGUACAUGAACAAUCUGAAAUGCUAUGGAUCUCAUACCGCAUCCUCUCAGAAGCAUCCCCACACUGUCACCAUGCGUGGCACAUGGAUGAAACAUAAUGCAUCUUACCCACUUGGUAUUAAAUCAGAAGGCCCUGAAAUUAGGCAGACUCGAAUGAUCAGGAGUCUCCAAAUUAAUUUUACUGAAGUGUCCAAGUAAAGCUCUCACAAGCCAGUUGCAACAGGGAGUCUUGAUUAAGAUGCACAAUUCAAUGACUUUUUUGUUGUAUAUUCAAAGUUGUGCAACCAUCAAUCACUUUUAGAACAUUUUCAUCACUCCAAGAGGAAACUCUGUACACAUUAAAGCGAUUCCUCAUCCCCCAAGUCCACCUGGCUCCAUGCAACAUUCGUCUACUCUGUCUCUGUAGAUACACCUAUUCUGGACAUUUCAUAUAAAUGAAAUGAUACCAUAUGUGGUCUUUUGUGUCUGGUGGCUUUGACUUAGCAUAAUGUUUUCAAGGAUCAUCCAUGUUGUAGCAUGCAUCAGGACUUCAUUUCUUUUUGUAACUGAAUAACAUUCUAUCGUGUGGAUGCGUCACAUUUUGUUUAUCCACUCAUCGGCUGAUGGGCAUUUGGGUCGUUAACGCUUUUUUUUGAGACUGGGUCUCAUUUUGUCACCUAGGCUGGAGUGCAGUGAUGCAAUCUUGGCUCACUGAAGCCUCGACCUCCUGGGCUCAAGCAAUCCUCCCGCCUCGGCCCCCCAAGUAGCUGGGACUACCAGUGCGCAUCACCAUGCCUGGAUAAUUUUUCGUAAGAAGGGAUUUCACCAUGUUGCCAAGGCUGGUCUCAAACUCCUGAGCUCAAGUGAUCCACUCACCUUGGCCUCCAAAGUGCUGGGAUUACAGGUGUGAGCCACCAUGCCCAGCCUGUUUACACAUUUUGAUUAUUAUGAAUAAUGCUGCUAUGAGUAUUUGCCUAGAAGUUUUUGCAUGGAUGUAUAUUUUCAAUUCUCUUGGACAUACACUUGGGAGUGGAAUUGGUGGGCCAUAUGGCAACUGUGUUUAACGUUUUUUAGAACUACCAGUUUGUUUUCCAAAGUGGCUGGACUAUUUUACAUUCCCACCAGCAGUAUAUGAGGAUCCCAAUUUCUUCACAUCCUCAGCAACACUUGUUUUAUCUGACUUUUUAGGCACAGCCACCCUAGGGUUAUGAAGUGGAAUGUCACUGUGGUUUUGCUUUGCAUUUUCCUAACAGCUAAAGAUGUUUAGCAUCUUUUCGUGGCUGAUUAGCCAUUCAUCUAUCUUACUUGGGAGAUGUCUAUUUAGAUCCUUUGCUGAUUUAAAAAUCGGUUUACUUAUGUUAUUAUUGAUUUGUAAGAGUUCUUUAUGAUUCUAGAUACAAGUCCUUUAUCAGAUGCAUGAUUUAUAAACAUUUUCCCCCUUCUAUGAGCUUGUUUUUUCACUUUCUUGAAUCAUAAGGACCUCUAUAUGUACAUCAAAAGCUAUCCUGGGCUGAGUGUGGUGGUUCACGCCUGUAAUCCCAGCACUUUGGGAGGCCGAGGUGGGCCAGGAGUUCGAGACCAGCCUGCCCAACAUGGUGAAACGCCAGCACUACUAAAAAUACAAAAAUUAACUGGGCGUGGUGGCAUGUCUAAAAAUACAAAAAUUAACUGGGCGUGGUGGCAUGUGCCUGUAAUCCCAGUUACUCAGCAGGCUGAGGCAGGAGAAUAGCUUGAACCCAGGAGGUGGAGGUUUCAGUGAGCCAAAACUGUGCCACUGCACUCCAGCCUGGGUGACAGAGCGAGACUCCAUCUCAAGAAAAAGCUAUCCUGGCUUUCAUUGGAAAACUAGGUUCAAGAUAUGAAGUGGAUGGAGAUGUGAAGUUGAUGACAGUUCCUUCAGAAUCUGAGAAAAAGGAUGUCCCUGAGGCAAUCUCCUUCAAAUGCAUAGGUCCAUGCCUCAUUCAUCUUUGUCAUUCAGUGGCUGGCAGUGUCUAGCAUGCAUCUGAUGCUCACAGAAUGCUUGGUGAACUUUUAAUCUAAAGUAGUCUCUCAUAAUCUUUAGGUUUAAAAUUUGAAAUCCUGGAUCAAUCAAGUAAUAGUUGGUAUUGUGUAGUCUUAUGUAAUCUUAUGUGCCUUUAUAUCCUCAUCUGCAAAAUAAAGAUAAUGAACUCAUUGGGUUAGUGUGAGGAUUACUAUGUUAGUUCAUCUAAUGUGCAUAAAAUGUGCCUCCACAGGGCAAGUUUCAAUAAAUAUGAGCUAUCUUACAGCUACACUUGGGUACUAAGCAAUACAGAGCACACACCUCUUUAUUAUUAUUAUUUAUUAUUAUUAUUUUUUGAGAUAAGAGUUUUGCUCUUGUUGCCCAGGCUGGAGUGCAAUGGUGUGAUCUCGGCUCACCACAACCUCCGCCUCCCAGGUCCAAGUGAUUCUCCUGUCUCAGCCUCCUGAGUAGCUGGGAUUACAGACAUGCGCCACCAUGCCCAGCUAAUUUUGUAUUUUUAAUAGAGACAGGGUUUCUCUAUGUUGGUCAGGCUGGUCGCGACCUCCCAACCUCAGGGGAUCCGCCCACCUCGGCCUCCCAAAGUGCUGGGAUUUUACAGGCAUAAGCCACUACAGCCGGCCUAUUAGUAUUAUUUUUUGCGACAGGGCCUCACCCUGUCACUUAAGCUGGAGUGCAGUGGCAUGAUCAUUACUCACUGCAGCCUUGACUCCUGGGCUAAAGUAAUCCUCCCAACUCAGCCUCUGGAGUAGCUGGGACUACAGGUGUGUGGCACUAUGCCCAGCUAAUUUUUAAAAAUUAUUUGUAGAGACGAGGUCUCAACAUGUUACCCAGGCUGGUCUCAAACUUUUGGACUCAAGCAGUACUCCUGCCUUGGCCUCCCAAAGUGCUGGGAUUACAGAUGUGAGCCACCUCGCCUGGUGGGACGCACGUCUUAAAUAAUUCUGAAACUGUACCUUUAUUAAUAGUAGUACAGUACUUAGUUGUUUUCCCUGAGUUCCCUGGAUUCCUUGGAAGUGUUUCAAAGAAUUCAGCAAACAAAAGUAUUGUGAUAAAACCUGACACACACGUCUUACAUUUCACACUGUAAUUUGUAGGGUACUGUCAAUUUAUUAACCUGUGCUACUAUGUAAUUUAUUUUUCUGUAAGCUUCUGAUCACAGCUUUACAUAUACAUAUUUUUCUUUAUUCCCCCUACAUUUUAUUAUAAAAAUUUCAAACAUAAAAUAAAUUAGAAAUAAUUUUGUAGUGAACACUUGAAUACCUACUAUUUAGAUUCUGACAUUUUCGUUUUACUGUACUUUUAGGCUUUUUUUUUUCUUUUUAGAGACAGGUUCUUGCUACAUUGCCUAGGCUGGCCUUGAACUCCUAGGCUCGAGUGAACCUCCUGCCUCAGUCUCCUGAGUAGCUGAAAUUACAGGCAAACACCACUGUGCCCAGCUUCAUUUUAUUGUACUUAAAAAAAAAAUCACAGAUCUAUCCAUGUAUCCAUUCCUCAACCCAUCUUAUUUUUGAUGUAUUUCAAAAAAAGGGAAGACAGCAGUACACUCCCUCUGAAAUACUGCAGCUCACAGAAUGUUAUCUAAGAAUCAAUAUUUCUUCAUGGCUUUUUCUUUCAAUGUAAAAUGCAUGUCCAAUGAAACAGAAAUCUUAAGUGUAUAUCUGCUGAGUUUUGAAAAAUGCAUCUAUCUGUGUAGCUCAAAUUCCCAUAAAAAUAUUAUGCACAUAUUUUCAACUUCUUUCAAAUGUGUUGUUUGGAAGGAGGUUCUGGUCAUUUUUGUAGACAAUGCAGCACCUGUUGAAUAGUCUUACGGUAGAAGCGAGUCCCUAAGAGGCACAGAGGAUGCACACCCUGCUUUGCCCAAGGCCACUUGAGCUGGGGCUCACCUGCAGGGCCCAAGCUCUCCUCACAGAGCAACUGCCAUGUUCUCACAGGGGACAACGUAACCCAUAACCCAACGCUAUAAAUAUAACGUUUAUCAGAUGUCACAUUUGUGUUAAAGAAUGUGAAGAGCUGUUAGAGACUGUUAAGAAUUCAACUUGGAACAAAAUUUCUUUCUUUGUUUUUUGAGACAGAGUCUCACUCUGUUGUCCUGGCUGGAAUGCAGUGGCACAGUCUUGGCUCACUGUAGCCUCAAACUCCAAGGCUCCAGCAAUCCUCCUGUCUCAGCCACCCAAGUAGCUGGGACUACAGGUACACACCACCCCACUUAGCUAAUUUUUGGGGGUAUUUUUUUUUUUGUAGACACUAGAGACCCAGGCUGGUCUUGAACUCCUGGGCUCAAGCAAUCCUCCCACCUUGGCCUCCCAAAGUGCUGGAAUUACAGGCGUGAGCCACUGUGCCCAGCCAGAAGAAAAUUUCUUAUGAUUCUCCUUUUCACAUUUCUACAUCAUUUAACUUAAAAUGUUUCUUGUAAUUACAAGGCAACCUUAACAAAAGACCCCAUUUUUGCUACCAUUUGCAACAACUCAUCUGCAUAUGUCAGGAUGUUCCCACACGCCCCUCCCUAGCAGGAAUAAGCUGGAUGUUGAGUCCAGCGAAAAACUCAACCGUCAUCUAAGACCACUGAAUUCCAAUUUUGUUCUUAUCAAUAUAGCCAUAGAGAUCUUUAGGUUUGUUUAUAAUAAGUAAAUGUUACAAAUGUGAAUAUGUAAACUAAAUUUUACUUUAUUAAAUUUUCACUUUGGUUUCAUAUAUUUAUUUUAAUAAAAUACCACUUUGCUUUGGCAUUGGCUAUAAAUUGCAUUUGGUUCUGCUGGUAUGAAUUUUGAAAACGGGCACUAGUUUUUAAACCGCACCCCGGGGAGCCUCACAUUUGGAGGCAACAGAGGGGCCACACAGCAGCAGGCAGAAGCGAAUACAAGGGCUCCGGCUCCUCACCAGGGGACUUGUCUUCUCCCUCUUUGCUAGUGGCAUUCCAUACAGUUCCGUGUGACGAAGCGUUCCAUUUCUAAGAAAUACUGAAAAAUCCAGCUCUAAGGCAUCAAAAAUGUGAUUUUUGUUUUAUAGUUUGAAGGUCCUGAUUUUCACGCCAUGAUUGGAGAUUCCUGUGAUGUAUGUGCUGGGCAGAGAGGCCAGGCCCUGAAGGCCAUCCUGUUCCAGGCAUCCUUUCUGUAUAGGAAGUCUGAGGGUUACGUUAGAUAAGGAAUGGGAAGCCACUGCAGUUCUCCACCCAAGUAAGUAGAUUUUCUGAGAUAUUUUAAAAACAGGUUUUACACACAAAAACAUUUGUGGUAAUCCCACUAAAAAUUUUCUUCUGGAUGUCUCAGGGCAAGGGUUUCUAGAGGAGAAUAAAAGAAACAUGUAACAGGGGCUGAUGGCCACACACAGAGACAUCUGGUCUACCUACCUAGUCCCUGCUGCUACAUUUAUUUUUCAUAGCUAAAGUAAAUGUUAUUGUAGUGCUCAUAAACAGGAACAUUUCCAAUUUUGCAGCUCUAGAAAACAAAUCUGAGAGGCGGGGCACAGUGGUUCAUGCCUGUAAUCCCAGCACUUUGGGAGCCAAGGUGGGGAGAACACUUGGGUCAGGAGUUCGAGACCAGCCUGGCCAAUAUUGUGAAACCUCAUCUCUACUAAAAAUACAAAAAUUAGCCAGGAGUGGUGGCGGGCCCCUGUAAUUCCAGCUACUAGGGAGGCUGAGGUGGGAGAAU
rnacentral:lncRNA from 1 species